rnacentral:rRNA from 16 species
UCCUUUUCCACCCCGGUGACUAUUAGUGGUUAGCUUGGAACUGUUGCUGUGCGGGCAAUCUGACUGUUUAAUUGAAACACAGCUUCGUGAGGGGACCAGACGGCAUUUUCCACAAGGUGAUUUCUGUCCAGUGCUCUGAUUGUCAAC